GUGAGGCCUUGGGACUGGCUCAGAGAGGUCGGCAACGACCCUCAGAGCCGGAAACUUGGUCAAACUUGGUCAUUUAGAGGAAGUAAAAGUCGUAACAAGGUUUCCGUAGGUAAGUUAGGCAGCAUUUUUCUACUUGCAAACCUUAAAACCGAUACUAACUAAACUUUUUAGGUGAACCUGCGGAAGGAUCAUU
rnacentral:rRNA from 1 species